CCCUUAGAUGUUCUGGGCCGCACGCGCGCUACACUGAUGCAUUCAACAAGCCUAGCCUUGACCGAGAGGUCCGGGUAAUCUUUGAAACUGCAUCGUGAUGGGGCUAGAUUAUUGCAAUUAUUAAUCUUCAACGAGGAAUGCCUAGUAAGCGUGAUUCAUCAAAUCGCGUUGAUUACGUCCCUGCCCCUUGUACACACCGCCCGUCGCUCCUACCGAUUGAAUGUGUUGGUGAGGAGCUCGGAUUGGCAGCAGUUGGUGGUUCGCCACCGGCUAUUGCUGAGAAGUCCUCCAAACCGCCCCAUUUAGAGGAAGGAGAAGUCGUAACA
rnacentral:rRNA from 1 species